AUGGCACCUGAUGAAGACGAUGAUGACCUGACUAGAUCGACUGUAUGUGUCGACACACAAAACUCCCCCGUGCAGAAUGACCCAAGUUUAUGUGUUAAAGCAGUGGUGGUGCAAACUGCAAGGUAUCCACCACAGGCGCCAAUGAAUGAAAGAGUUACUAGACGCAAUUGCAAACAUGUGCCGCGCCUGAAGAACCAUCAACACCAAUCAAGCGUUUUGGAGACAAUCAAUGAGGUGGAUGAUGGACCUGCACAAGAUGAUGAUCACAUUGAAUGUUGGACUAAGAUUGUUCCUCAAGAUGACUGCGAGCGAGAACUCGAGCAAUUCUUUAUUCUAAGGCCUAAAACACGAUGUCCGUGA
rnacentral:rRNA from 1 species